CCAGCUUCCAACGCCCGCAGUGAACUCCCGUCCCCUCUUGCCAAUGCCUCCUGCACACCCGCUCCUCCCACGGGGCCUCCCAGAGCUGACCUCAGCCCAGGCCCUAUCAGCUGAGCCCUGGGCAGCAUCUCGUCCACACCCCGCAGGGCCUUGGUGGGGCCGGGCAGGGGGCCCUGGCCCCCGUCUGCAGACCAGGCCGCCGAAGCUGCCGCUCACUCGGGUGCAGGAGAUCAGGGGAAGCAAAAGGUUAUUGGAGGAGAAAGGAAAACGUUGCCCCUGAUGCCACGUUGCGCAACACAGGAGAAUCCUAUCAGCGCAGGAGAACCAGGACUGGAACCCAGCCCCCCACAUGCCUAGCCUGGCCUGCUUCCUCUGGCCCACCUGUGGGGGUGUGGAUGCUGAGGGAUGUCAGAGCCCAGGGACGACCACUGUGGGUCUGAAGAGCCCUGGACGGUGUGCAUAGAGUAGGCAAGCGAAUGAACGGAUCUGCCCGGCUGCAGGGAGAAUGAGAGCGGAAAACGUAAAGAAGGUGUGAGGGGCUCCAUUUUACAGAGGGGGAAAGCGAGGCUCCCAGCGGGAAAGUGGCUUGCCCGAGAUCACCUGGCAGUCAUCGCCUGAGCCAGGAUUUGAAUCAAGGCCUGUCGAUUUCCAAGGCGGAUACUGCUGACACUGAUUCUCCUUAAACGAUGGAGUCCCACAGAAAGGUGGCUUUGCAGGCACAGUAAAGUACAAAGUCUCCAAGGCUGGUCUGGCUGCCUUGAAGGUCCAGCUGGGUGGCAGGAACUCAAAGGUCGACGGGUGAGAUGUUCUUGAUUUCUGGAGUCCUUGGGCCCCCCGGGGCUGUUGGCUCUGACUGCCGAUAAAAAGACACGGAAACCUCUGUCCCAUUGUGACCUGGCUCCCUGUUGUCCUUCUGCAGGAAAGCCAAGUUCUCAUAGCCCCUGUACCUCCCAACUGCUUCUAAUGAAUUCACUGUCCGCCUUGUUUUGUUGUCCCAGACUCAGGCCACCCUGGUUUUGCCUGGUGAGUGGCCUCUUUCAAAGGUGAGCUGGCUCUUCUCUGCCUCGGACAAUCAGGCCAUUCAAAGGCAGGCCAGCAUCUCCACGAGCAGGCCGAUGUCCACUGCAGCCCGCAAAUGAGUGUGCGGGUAGGCGUGCCUGCACCCCAAUGCCUAGGUGUGCAUUUUGUACGGGAGGCAGGGCAGGGCGAGAGGAGACAGUCCGAGAGGAUGUGGGGGCAGGGGGAUUGAAGACCGGGCCUUGGGACAACGUUAACGGCAGCUCUGCCCAAAAGUACACUAUUAUCAAGUAAGUUGAGAAAUGCCGAAAGUUCCAUCUCUUCCUUUAAGUUUGUGGUAUGGACAUCUGUGUGACAAAGGCUCAGAGAAGUCCUGCGGUCAGGAAUGUUUGUUGACUUUUAAUUGAGAAUUGCUGUGGUUUUUUUCUCCUCCCUCUCUCUCGUCCUUCCUUCAACAAAUGCUCAAGACAUUCCUAACGUCCACCAGGACUGUCUCAAGCGCUGGGGACUCAGCAGUGAACAAAACAAGGCUCCUGCCCCCUUGGGGUUCACUCCAGAGGGAGGAGACUGACGACAAAUGUAAUAUGGAAGCGAGUGGGCGGUGGUUUACACUUUUGAGUAUGGAGGUAGGAGAGCCCUUACUGAGAAGGUGAUAUUUGAUCGGAGACGUAGGACAGGUGAGGAAACCCAUCAGGCCGACUCAUGGGGGAAGAGCAUUCCAAGCAGAGGGAACUGCAGGUGCUAAGACCCUGAGGCCUCGGCAUGCCUGGUGGGACCCAGGAGCAGCGGGGAGGCCGUCAGCCCCAGCCCACAGGACACAUUGUAGCAUCUGCCAAAGCAGUUUGAGAAACUGGUGUCCAGACUGGAGGUAUUCACACAAGCACUGACUCCUAGGUUCUCUCAGACAAAAUCAGGAGGCACAUCAGUAUGGCAGAGGCUGAGUGGUGGCCAUCCCCUUUAGAGAAGGGUCUGUGUUCCCUGGGACGCCCCACCCAUACCGGACCUCAAGCCCCUCCAGCUGUACUCAUGGAUGUCACUUGCCCCGCCCCGAAGGCCAUCUGAAGGAGGUGGCCUCUGGGCGCCACUCGCUGUGCUAACACCCUAAAACUCUCUGCCCGCAGUGAGUACGACAGUCAUGCUUCCCGGUUUCCCGCUCGGCCCGGCACAGUUCUGGGAACGCAAUGGACGCACUGCAGACGUUUGGUCCCCACCCCUCCCCAGCUGCCUGGUGACCUCGGUUACCCUGCAACCCGGGAGGCUUGAGAUGCAUCCUGCAGGGUGUGCCCUGCCUAAGCCCUGUCCCCAUGUGGCCUGCAUCCGUGUGGCCAGUGCAACAGAAAUCAGGACCUCGUUCAGUUGGGGUGGACCUCAGAAAACCUCAGUCGCCGUGGAUACUUCUUUGCGCCCAAUUCCAAAUUGGCCACUCUGCCCGCUCCCCAUCCUCUCACCCCAAACGCAACCCAACGUCACUUGUGGGCAGGAAUUCGCCGUCAGCACACAGAGAGGUGGGCAGCAUGGACUCCUACCACACAGACUUGGGAUGAAACCCAAGCUCUGUAACUCGGUAGCUGCUGCUGUAGCUGUUAUUGGUCAGGGCUCUCCAAAGAACCAGAACCAAGAGGGCAUGCAGGGAUCCAUAAGAGGAGAUUUAUUAUGAGAACUGGCUCACGUGAUUAUGGUGGCCAAGAAGCCCCACAAUCUGCCCUCUGCAGGCUGGAGACCCAGGAAAGGGAAAGGUGGUGAUAUGAUUCAGUCGGAGUCUGAAGGCCUGGAGAUCAGUGAAGCCAGCUGUGUGAAUGCGGCUCUGAGUCUGAAAGGCCAAGGAGCUGGAGCGCUGAUGUUCAAGGGCAGGAGACGAGAAGACGGGGGUCCCAGCUCCAGAAGAGAGAGCAAAUUCGCCCUUCCUCUGACUUUUUGUUCUGCUCAGGCCCACAGAGGCUUAGAUGAAGCCCACCCACAUCGGCGAGGGGAACUUCUGUAUCUGGUCUACUGAUUCAAAUAUUGAUCUCUUACAGAAACACCCUCACAGAGACACCCAGAAAUAAUGUUUUACCAGCCAUCUGGUCAUCCCUUAGCCCAGUCAAGGUGAUGCCUAAAAUCAGACAUCAUGAUGUCUAAUGUCUAAUCAUGACAUCCCUAAUUCUUCUGAACUUCAGGUUCCUAAAGUGCCAAAGGACAACAGCACUCCCCCCUGCUGCCCACCUUGGAGGGAGGGCUGCCGGCAGGAUUAAAGGGGCCAGCCAGGUAAUGAACACACGGGAAGUGGUCGCUGUCGGUGUCAUCAUCUCGGCCACAGGAGGACUUUGUGGCUUGGCAUUUCCAAACUAGAAGGGUCUAUCUCCCCAGCUCCAUCAUGAAACCUGUUAGAAACUGGUGGAUGUGCCCGGAGUCAAACUGGAACUGGGUGGGAGAAGCCCCGUACAAUGCAAACCCCUCACCCCCAUGUAGAAGACACCUCUUAAUUUUUGCCCCCCGAACAUCCGCUUUCUCUUCUAGCAACAGCAUCCCAAGUUUCCUUGGGGAAACCACCCCUCCUCCACGCUCAGUCCGUGCAAUUCGUCGACUUCGACGCCAUCAGCCACCUGGCCAAUCAAAGCCCUGACUCCUCCAAGCACAGUGAUUGGUUCGUGGUGAGCAUGUGAUCCAGGCUGGGCCAAUAAGAGACCUCUGUGAGUUUUGCCGAGCUCUUGGGAAAGAGGCGCCCUCUUCCUUGUGGGGUGGCUGGGCGGACGGGCCGUGAGCCGGCCGCUGCUGGUGGGCAACUUCACAAGCAGAAAAACAAAACAGACAACCUGCCUGAGAGUGAAGGCAACAGCCAACACAGAAGAAAGCAGAGCCAAAGGGUGCAGGGAGGAUGCCUGACAAAGAUGCCCAAGCACCUGGAUCCAGUCAUGACCGAGGCUGCAGAAAACAUGUCCGCUCGGGGCCCUGGAUCUAGUUAGCGCUCGACAAAUAUCUGCCGUAGGAUGGGCACCACGAUACCAGGACCAAGAUAUUUAGCGGUUUCUUCAGCAAAGGAGCCAGACGACCUAGCCACGGGAGUGAUGGAAUCUCCGAAAUGGCAUGAGGAGAGAAAGAGCCAUCGUCCCUUGAGGGAUCCCGAAAUGUAGGUCGCAUUUCUCGCGUUUCUUUUUCUGUCUUGAGAUAGCCGUAAGGUGACGGAGCUGCCGAAUGAGCCAGCUGAACUCUAACCUCCGGCAGGUAGGGCCUGCAUUUGCCCUGCUCAGCUGUACUUCCCUGCCUGGCAUACAGCAGGUGCUCAAUAAGUGGUGAGAUAAGGGAAAUGGAACUGGGGACCUGCUUCCCAUCCUAAGUAGUUCAUUUCUUGUCGUGUAGGUGGUCUGUUGGUGGGAAUGUUACCCUCCCCGUAAUGUUACCGUUCCCUGUCGCCCUCCUGGCUCCCCGUCCCCUCCUUCCAGCUUGGAGCAGGGUUGGGGGGAGGGCACGGAGGCCCGAGAGAUGGUCCUGGUCCCUGCUCUUGGACCAUUUUCUCCAGCGUCAUGUAUCUGCGGGCCGGAGGGUGGGGUGGGGAGAAGAUUUCUGCCGAACUCGCUUCUGCACAGCCGGGGUGUGCCGUCACCCCCAGCUGCCUACCCUUCCUCCAUCGGCGCUUUGGCGCUGUGGCCCUGGCUCAGCCAGGACUGGAUUUGAUUGAUUCUUUAUGGCCUGCGGAUUCGAUGCCUGAGCUGAACACAUGUGGAAGACAAGCCAGGGUGGAGGUGGGGGAGAAGAGAGGCAAGGGGGAGCAGUGUGGGCCAGACCCCAAGUCUUGCAAGACACAGAGCUUCCCCAGGUCUGGCCCGGAUCACGACCUACAUGCCAGCCGCACCCACAUGCCGAUGACUCUGGUUUCUAGAAUUGUCCUGAACCUCAUUUCCCAGCAAUAUCCGAUCGAAUGGGAAUGUCCAAGGCCAGGCCCUUCAGAUGGGACGAGUCCGGGCCAAACGUCCUCCCAAAAAAAUGUGAUGUGAGCAGUGUUCAUCUGUUAUUGAUUGGGAGGCUGUGAGCUUUGCUUCCAAAAUCUCCAAUAAAACUGGCUUGGAGGAGAAUUUCCUGGAUCCCCGGUAAGUGGAUAAAGAUGUUCCAGAAGUCCAGAGUGGUGCUGGUGGGGAAGCUCACACACCACGUCCAGUUGGUUUUCCCCUUUGUUACUUAAUGAAGAACAGAAAGCCUUCAGCCCAACCUCUCUGCCUCCAGAGACGGCUCCCUUCUCCCUUUGAGUUAAUUUCCGGUUGGAGGCAGGAGCCUGCUCAGCCUCAGGGCCCCUGGGAAUCUGCCCUCUUCUCCUUUGGGUUGGGGGCUGGGGUUAGCUCAUUCCUCUGGACAUCCCGUGGGAGGGCUCUUGCACCUAUGGGUGGUACUGGGAGAGUAGGGGGUCUCUAGGGAGUAUGGUGGAGCAUUUGGGGAGCUGGGCUCCAUUGUUGAGGCAACCUUACAGAGAAUUCACCUUCCAGAGCCUCAGUUUCCUCACCUGCGAAAUGGGUGUCAUCUCAGCCUCGGCCUCAUGGGGGUUGUUGACAGGAGUCGCCAAGAGGACGUAUGCAACGCGCUUUACCCAGGGCCUGGCGCACAGCAAGUACUCGAUUAGCACGGGUUCUUAUCACUAUUAUUCCCUGACGUCAGCAGCUGGGAUUCUGCUGACUUCAUGGCGAGUCCCAGAGACGCCCAGAGCGAUGGAAUCACCCCCUUCCCUGUACUUCUCCUUCCCGUCCUCCACCCCCCACCACAUUCUCUUGGGCCGUGGGAUGGAAGGAUGAGGACAGGCAAUCUGAGUCAGAGCGCUUGUCAUCUGGGUGGGGGGAAUGGGGGGUGGGCCAGGAGCCGGAAAACCUCAGCCAGAGCCAGGGUGCGGCCGGGGAGGUCAGCCCUUGGCUCGGUGUCUCCACCGUAUGGUGCAAAGAUGCCGGAGCAGACGCCCACCUCCAGCAUCACUGAUCUAGGCCUCCCUCAGCCCUCGCAGCUGGCCAGGAAGGAGCGCCCUACUUGUGGCCUUUGCCCCCCGGGGAACCUAUACGACUGUGGGCCCCGCAUGCCUCGUCUCCCAGAUGGGAAGAUUGAAUUUGGCUUCGCGCACCUCAAAGGGAUGUCGUGCAGCUCAGUACAGGGCUCGGGGAACUGAGCGGACAGUCUAACCAGGAGCUGGGCGAACACGGGACGGAUUCACACCAACGUGGCAAAGGCUCAGAAAACUGAAUUAGGACCCGAACCACUGCCCACAGGAGCCGAGCAGAACUCUCGGUCUGAAUCGAGCCGGGUUAUCUGGGUGCUCCGAGGAAAACCUCAGUGUUCUCCAAAGACAGUAACAAUCCAGAAUCUGUGUGGCAUAACAUCAUAUGGCUCAGGGUGCAAUAAUCCAAAAUUAUCAGCAUACUAAGAGCCAUGAAAAUAUGAAAACUCUUAACCUGAUAAGGGGCAUCUAUGAAAAAAUCUAGAGCUAACGGCACACUUAAUGACGAAAGAUUGAAUGCUGUCUCCUGCGAGCUGUAUCUUGCACCAUAUAAAAAUGAAAUAAAAAUGGAUCAUAUACCUAAAUAUAACACAUAAAAACAUAAAAGUUCUAGAUGAAAAGAUAGGAGGAAGUCUUUGUGAUCUUGGGGUAGGCCAAGAUUUCUUGGAUUCGGCACCAAAAACACUUAUCUAUAAAAGAAGAAAUGGGCGAACUGAACUCUAUCGAAAUUAAGAACUUAUGGUUUUUGAAAGACUCGGUUAAGAAAAUGAAAAGAUAAGGCACAGACCGAGAGAAGCCAUUUGCAAAUCGCAUAUCUGUUAAGAGACUUGCGUCUGGAACAUAUAAGAAAUUUUCAAAAAUAGCAAGAGAACAAACAACCCAAUUAAAAGAAAUGGGCAAGAGAGUUGAACAAACAUUUCACCAAAGAAGCUAUGUGGAUGGCAGACGAGCACAUGGAAAACGUUCAAAAUAACUAAUCAAAAAGAACAGAUAUUAAAACCACAGUGAGGGGCGCCUGGGUGGCUCAGUCGGUUAAGCGUCCGACUUCAGCUCAGGUCACGAUCUCACACUUCG